GAUGAACGCUGGCGGCGUGCCUAAUACAUGCAAGUCGAGCGACAGGACGAGAAGCUUUCUUCUCUGAUGUUAGCGGCUGGCGGGUGAGUAACGCGUGGAUAACCUACCUAUAAGUCUGGGGUGACUUCGGGAAACCGGAGAUACUACUGCCUCAUAUUUUGUACCGCAUGGUUCAAAAGUGCAUGACGCUCUUGCUGUCACUUAUAGACGGAUCCGGGCUGCAUUAGCUAGUUGGUAAGGUAACGGCUUACCAAGGCAACGAUGCAUAGCCGACCUGAGAGGGUGAUCGGCCACACUGGAACUGAGACACGGUCCAGACUCCUACGGGAGGCAGCAGUAGGGAAUCUUGCGCAAUGGGCGAAAGCCUGACCGAGCAACGCCGCGUGAGUGAUGAAGGUCUUCGGGUCGUAAAACUCUGUUAUUAGGGAAGAACAGAAGUGGAAGUAACUGUGGACAUCUUGACGGUACCCAAACAGAAAGCCACGGCUAACUUCGUG
rnacentral:rRNA from 1 species